GACGUAGGGCGCGAGCGUUGUCCGGAUUUAUUGGGCGUAAAGAGCUCGUAGGCGGCUUGUUGCGUCGGCUGUGAAAACCCAUGGCUCAACCGUGGGCUUGCAGCCGAAACGGGCAGGCUAGAGUUCGGUAGGGGAGACUGGAAUUCCUGGUGUAGCGGUGAAAUGCGCAGAUAUCAGGAGGAACACCGGUGGCGAAGGCGGGUCUCUGGGCCGAUACUGACGCUGAGGAGCGAAAGCGUGGGGAGCGAACAGG
rnacentral:rRNA from 1 species